CCAGAUCUCUCCUCCAUGCUGAGCGAGUACGCCAGGUAGAGGCGGGCCAGAUCCCUCCUCCAUACUGUUCCAUCUCUCGAUGGCUCCCUGCCGUUUUGUGGGGGGCGUCCCAGUUUGAGGCGGACCAGAUCGGAGCUCGUCGGCAACCUCCUCCCCGUAAUGUGCUCUUCCCAGCCUCCCUUCUGAAGCUCCGGCAGCGGUGGGUUCGGCGGCAAGCCUGUGGUGGUCUCCUCGGUCCUUCCUGACCAGCCCGUGCGACGAGGUGGUCAAGUUUUAACUUUUACUGUAUUUGCUAGUAAAUUUGUUCUACAUCCUAAUUUUACUAUCAGGUAGAUUUGUGCUACAUUUCUCUAGUUCUAUUUUCUUGUUCAUGUGUCCCAGUUGUGAAUGAUGCAUUUUAACAACUCCGAUUUGAUGGUGCAUUGCUACUGUUCUAGGUGUUUUAGUACUCUAAUUUGAACGUUUUCUUUCACUGAUUAGUAUUCUGGAGGAUCAAGUUGGAAGGUUGAGGGCGGUUACAUAAUCUCAACGGCUUGAAGUUUAGGACAAUUCACUAAAAAGGUUAGUAUCUGCAGUUCCUUAUACAGAGUUAAUAGCUUGAAAAGAUGGAAAGAAAUUAAAUUGAUUCUGCUAGGAAAAAAAUGAAAUUGGACCAUAUGUUAGCAUAUCAAAAUUUUGAUUCAUGUAUACAUGAUUCACCGCUGAAAAAUGGAUCUAUUUUAACAGGGAAUAGUAAGAAGUGUCCCACUAUAUAUGAAUUAUGAUUCCCAAAGAUGGUGGCAUCGAGGGUCAACAAUUUAUGCAUCGGAAUACUGAGGGUCAACAAUUAGAAGUGUCGUAGUAUAUAUAUUCUGACUCAUAGACUGUUGCCGUAGUCUGCGUCUUUAUCUGAUCCUUGUGAGGAAGAUGAUCUCAUUUCUGACUUCACAAUUCUCAUCUCAGGACAAGUCAAACAAAACUCUCAUCUCAGGAUUCAAUAAUGGAGGGGAGCGGCACUACAUCGACAUUAGGAUAGCCCAUAGUUACAAUGGCCACAAAAAGUUACGAACAUCAGGUGAGAACAUCCGUCUAAGAAAGUUAAUAAUAUGUUGAUGUACCUAACAUUUUGUUAAUCCCUUGUGUGAUGUUGUUUCCUACAAAAUUGUUUUCAGUCAUUGAAUCGGUCAAUAGUGCUCAAAAUCAAGAUUUCAGCGAUGGUAGCUCGUUUGUACAGAUUAAUUCCCUGAUGCUUGUCAUUGAUGAUUCCGGUACACCGAAAGAAACAAUCGUUUUAUCAAGAGGUACACACACUUCUGAAUUUUAUGUAAUGUAACUUUUCACUUCUGUCCAUGUUCCAUGAUUUCAUUAAUAUUUUAUAAGAAACUAUACACCCUUAUCAUCUAUCAUGUCCAUGCCAAACCAUAGGCAUGGAACAAGUAGGUACUAAUGUGAACAACCGAUGAACCGAGAGAUUUCAUGGUUGAAACUACAAGGUCCUGUUAUGUUCUAUGAAUGUUCACAGCCUGUGUUUACGCCUGUUGGUCCUGUUGUGUUGUACUAGUUACUACAAAACAUAAUGUAAUGCAUGUCGUCAUUCUUUGUUUAGUACUAUUGAAUUAGAAUAAUAAUCUGCAUCUGCAGGACAGUCAUUAUACUGCCUUUUUGUUCGCUGCCAUUUUUUCGCAUUUCUAUUGAUGCUCUUUAGUGGUCCCUGAAACUUGUAAUAUGCUGAAUCUUAAGUGUAUGCAUGGCUGUUCACAUACUUUUUAGUGAACAUAUGCAUGUCUGUUCACAUACUGAAUCUUAAGUGGCCCUUCAAACUUGUAAUUUGCUCGAGGCUAUGUUAAAACUUCAUUGAGUAUGAACGUAUGACACUUACACGGACCUGUGCUAAUUGAAUUGUAUUUGUUUGGUUUGAUCUCUCCCAGCACACGAAGCUUGAUGAGCAGAAAGGACUAGAACUGAAGGCAAAAGCCUAUAGCUUUUCUGUUCUGUAACAUCAUUCAUGCCAAGUUGAUGCAGUUUCUAGUGGCACUGCUUCUUGAGUUGUGAUUUAUUUUAGUCAUUCAUAGUCAGUCUUGCCCAUGAUGUACCGCUUCUACAUGUAACACUUGAUAUGUAUGUAUGUAUGUAUGUAUGUCUCUUCUGUUGUUUCAUGGCUGUGAUCGUGCAGUUUGAAAUCUAUGUUUGCUUGAAGCGGAUGAAUUAAUGCUCAUGUACUCAAAGAUAUUUUUUAUGAUGCUCAUAUACUUUUUAGUAACCAACAUGUUCGUAUUUCUUGCAUGAUUU
rnacentral:lncRNA from 1 species